UAAGUAUGCACUGACGCACACUUGUAUGCACUCAUUGUUCCCAGAGAUCAUUGCGCUAAAUUAUCAUUUACCAUAGUGAUAAUCAGUGAAACCAUGGAGGAAUUUGUUUUCAGCUUAUGGAACCGUUAUGGAAGUACCUAAUUGAUAGCCAGUUAGGAAUCAUAAUUACUGUUUUAUUUUGGUUUUCUGAUAUAUAUCAUGAAAAUAUUCAAUAUUGAUUUUAUGUGCAGUGCUAGAGGAAAUAGCUGCAAUAAUAUACCCAUAGAUUAGAGUGGCAUUCGGUCCACCAGAGAGGCGGAUUGGUCUCGGUUGCGCCAGCUGGUGGAGAGAGCACACGCACCUGGGCUGUGUUAGCUAAUCAGCCCAGGUGCUUAAAGAUGUGCUGCUUGCCACAGUUCGGGGCUGAGACCGGGAGCUCAUACUGAGAGCAAGUGUCUUUAUUUGAGUUUAAUUUCAGUUUUGUUUCUUUAAAAAAUUUUAUUAUUUUUUUAAAAACAGGGAAAAGCAAACCACUGCUGAAAAGUGAGAGGUAAAAAUCUGGCCAGCUACGAGCGAGAAACUGGAAAAUUUUCCACUCGGUUUUGUUUUCUUUUGUCUUCGUUAUUUUAGUUUGUUUUAGUUCAUUGUUUUUGCCUGGAACCCAUGAGGGGGAAGGCUGAAGAUGGCAUUUAUUUUAUUUCAUGUUGGUGUGGGUGCGCUCUCUCUCUCUCCAUGAGGCAACAAACGGUGUUCCCUGGCACUGCUGCAUCUUCCUCCCAGGGGUGUCACGUUGAUAGUAGGCAUCAGGCAUUCUUUUUUGCAGCUGCAGUUAUUAGAUGCACAGCGCAAAUGGUAAUGGAAAAUGCUAAAGAUAUUUUCAGGAAGAAAGGGGAUUUCAGAAACCACAAUUUACCUAAUGAAUAUGUGCAAAACAGAAUCUGGUUACACUCUGCCACCCAUGAAGACUGCUAAAUCUGUGGGAAGCACAUGGAUAGCAAUUUGUAGGCCUCUCUUAAUCAAUAGUGCUGAAUGGGUCCAGUGAUAAAUUUGUACUUGUACAGGGCUUGUACAUACUUAGGCCAGAUCCCUAAUUGGCCGAAGUAUGAGACUAGCAGAAUUGUGAAAAAAAUAUAAGACAUGAGCUGCAAUUAAAAAAAAUAAAAAUAAAAACAUAAAAUGAUAAAAGGAAAACUAUGAAAUACUUAAAAAUACAGAGAACCAAAUAUUGAGAGAAGUUACUGCAAUGAAAAAUCUCACAGAAAGCCAGAAGGAAAAACCUGUGAAAACCAUUAACAGAAAACGCACCUCAUUUAAUUCCAAUCCCUCAAGCAUAUGUCCAUCAGGUUCAUAGUGUUUCAAUUGUCACCCCCAGCCUUGGCUAAUUCUACUCUUACUGCAAUGUGUAAUCCAUCUUUCCACUGUUUCAGUCAAGUCUCUGGAACACCACCACAUGCAUGGCUCUCUUAAAGAGAUCCCCUUUGUUACAAAAACGUUCAGAGUAAAAUCACCCUUAAAAAAGUAAAGCAUUUAAAGGUUAACCUAUGCCACUCAAAUGUUGUGUUCUGAAGCCAUGAAAGUGAAAAAUAUUACAGUUAACAGUGCUGAGGCCAAUGUUAGAGAGAAUACAAAAUCCUGUCGUAAAUACUCUGAAUACUGUUUGGAUUAGACC